rnacentral:tRNA from 1 species
GCGGAGAUAGCGAAGCCUGGUCAAACGCGCAGGGCUUAGAACCCUGUUCCGAAGGGAUUCAGGGGUUCGAGUCCCCUUCUCCGCA